ACACUAAUGUUUAACUUUGAUUUGUUCAUGUUGAUGAUGCAGAAAAAUUGAUAGGUGGGUGUUCCCAACACUAUUCAGUUUUAGUACAAGAAGAUUAAUAAGUAAGAUAGUUGUUGACGGCGAGGUUCCUGCCCUCGAUUAUGACCAUACGGGCCAAUUUAUUUUCUGCGGAAAUAUUGUUUAUGUUGAGACUCAAAGUCAUAAUGAGCGGUCUGAAAUCGCGUUUGUGACAUUCACGGAUAGUCAAGGAGCUGAGACCGAUGUUCUUCUUUCGGUUUUAAUUAAUAGACGUCGUUUCAUAUCAUCUUAAUGGCAUUUGAUAAUGAAUCAUUGUCGAAGAACCCAAGAAUCCGAAGUGACUAUGCACUUUAUUAUUCAGAUGUAUGGAAUUAAGGAUCUAAUUCUACUCGGAUAUCGGGGGGAAUGUCGUAAGUUUUAAUGUUU